rnacentral:rRNA from 1 species
CACGUAGGUGGCGACGUAAGUCGGGUGUGAAAGCCCCGGGCUCAACCUGGGAAUUGCAUUCGAGACUGUGUUGCUGGAGUACGGAAGAGGAGGGCGGAAUUCCCGGUGUAGCGGUGAAAUGCGUAGAUAUCGGGAGGAACAUCAGUGGCGAAGGCGGCCCUCUGGUCCAGUACUGACACUCAAGUGCAAAAGCGUGGGGAGCAAACA